UAGAGUUUGAUCCAGGCUCAGAUUGAACGCUGGCGGCAUGCCUUACACAUGCAAGUCGAACGGCAGCACGGGAGCAAUCCUGGUGGCGAGUGGCGAACGGGUGAGUAAUAUAUCGGAACGUGCCCAGUCGUGGGGGAUAACGCAGCGAAAGCUGUGCUAAUACCGCAUACGAUCUCUGGAUGAAAGCGGGGGACUCGCAAGAGCCUCGCGCGAUUGGAGCGGCCGAUAUCAGAUUAGCUAGUUGGUGGGGUAAAGGCCCACCAAGGCGACGAUCUGUAGCUGGUCUGAGAGGACGACCAGCCACACUGGAACUGAGACACGGUCCAGACUCCUACGGGAGGCAGCAGUGGGGAAUUUUGGACAAUGGGCGCAAGCCUGAUCCAGCAAUGCCGCGUGCAGGAUGAAGGCCUUCGGGUUGUAAACUGCUUUUGUACGGAACGAAACGGUCUGCCCUAAUACGGUGGGCUAAUGACGGUACCGUAAGAAUAAGCACCGGCUAACUACGUGCCAGCAGCCGCGGUAAUACGUAGGGUGCGAGCGUUAAUCGGAAUUACUGGGCGUAAAGCGUGCGCAGGCGGUUAUGUAAGACAGAUGUGAAAUCCCCGGGCUCAACCUGGGACCUGCAUUUGUGACUGCAUAGCUAGAGUACGGUAGAGGGGGAUGGAAUUCCGCGUGUAGCAGUGAAAUGCGUAGAUAUCGUAAGGAAGACCAGUGGCGAAGGCGGGUCUCUGGACAGUUCCUGACACUGAGGCACGAAGGCCAGGGGAGCAAACGGGAUUAGAUACCCCGGUAGUCC
rnacentral:rRNA from 1 species